rnacentral:misc_RNA from 1 species
AACGCACAUUGCGCCCGCCAGCACUCUGGCGGGCAUGCCUGUCCGAGCGUCAUUUCAACCCUCGGGCCCCUAUCCGUAGCGGGCCCGGCGCUGGGGAUCGACCCUAUGGGUGCCUCCUGGGCGCCCCGGUCGGCCCCUAAACACAGUGGCGGUCACGCCGUCGGCUCCCCUGCGUAGUAGAAACACCUCGCACCGGACCGCGGCGCGGCCACGCCGUAAAACCCCCGACUUACCAAAGGUUGACCUCGGAUCAGGUAGGAAUACCCGCUGAACUUAA